rnacentral:rRNA from 1 species
UACAGAGGUCUCAAGCGUUGUUCGGAUUCAUUGGGCGUAAAGGGUGCGUAGGCGGCGCGGUAAGUCGGGUGUGAAAUCUUGGAGCUUAACUCCGAAACUGCAUUCGAUACUGCCGUGCUUGAGGACUGGAGAGGAGACUGGAAUUUACGGUGUAGCAGUGAAAUGCGUAGAUAUCGUAAGGAAGACCAGUGGCGAAGGCGAGUCUCUGGACAGUUACCGACGCUGAGGCACGAAGGCCAGGGGAGCAAACGGG